AAGCAAACAAGAUAGUCGAGUGAGCAGCAUUUAUUUCCAAAUUAUAUUAUACUUUAUUUACGGAGAAGUUUAUGAAAUUUACUAAAAAAGGAACGAAAAAAUCUUAAAGCGAUACAAACGUGAAGCAACGCGUUUUGCUUUUAAGGUCGUUCGAAAGAUUUGUAAACACUCCGUGUUUCCAACAGUCCUAUGUCACUCCGGUUAUGUCCCCGACAUUACCCACCCUUUUUUUGUGGGGUUAUGCGGAAGACCGUGUCUAUGCCAACUCUCCGCAAACUCUUGAACAUUUGAAAGACAACAUUCGUGAAGUUAUGACCGAGAUACCGUCCCAUAUGUGCCGAAAAGUCAUCGAAAUUUACCUGUUCCGGAUCAAGGUGUGCGAGGAAGCCCUAGGUGGACAUUUGAAUGAUGUUGUAUUUCACACAU